rnacentral:rRNA from 1 species
GGCAGCCGCGGUAAUUCCAGCUCCAAUAGCGUAUAUUAAAGUUGUUGCAGUUAAAAAAGCUCGUAGUUGAAUUUUGGAUUCGGCCAAUUGGUCCAUCUUUUAGAUGAGUACUGGUUGUGUUGGGUCUAUCCGCCUGGUAAUACGUAAUGUCCUUUAUUGGAUGUUGCGGGUAGUCAGGACCUUUACCUUGAAAAAUUAGAGUGUUUAAAGCAGGCUUAUGCCGGAAUACGUUAGCAUGGAAUAAUAGAAUAGGACGAAGUUGUUUUAUUUUGUUGGUUUCUAGGACAACCGUAAUGAUUAAUAGGGAUAGUUGGGGGCAUUAGUAUUCAAUUGUCAGAGGUGAAAUUCUUGGAUUUAUUGAAGACUAACUACUGCGAAAGCAUUUGCCAAGGAUGUUUUCAUUAAUCAAGAACGAAAGUUAGGGGAUCGAAGACGAUCAGAUACCGUCGU